rnacentral:tRNA from 1 species
GGAGGUAUGGCUCAAGCGGUAGAGUCCCUGCCUCAAAAGCACAAAGUCCUGAGUUCAAACUCUAGUACUGCUU